ensembl:lncRNA
GGGUAGUAAAACUUUAUUCUAAGGGCUAAGAGGACUAGGGAGGUCCACUGAAUGGGUGGGAGAGGGAGAUGAGAAAGAGAGAUCAAGCCUGCUGUGUUGUUCAGUGUUAACCUGGGAGGGUGUUUCUUCCUCUGUCGGCCUAGUCUUAGUUUCCGAGGGUUCCUUCCUUGUGACUUUUAUAAGCUGGGAAGAGGAGGAGGGUGGGAAGAAGGACAUCAUCUUGGACUAACCUUGUCUUCCAUCCCUGGGCCGUGAAGCCUUUCAUCUGUCCAUCCUUCUUUCUCUUUGCUAGAGCAAAAGGUGGGGAGAAGUCAUUCCUGAUUUGACCACCUCUCUUUUGUCUCUAACCUCAUUGGGGUUUGGAUUAAGUAUGGAGCUUUGGCUAAAAUCCUUGGGUUGCCUUAGAACACUGACACUAAGAACCUGGGAUUACCAGGAAGGCGGAGGACCAAGAAACCUAGAGGAAUGCUUUGAGAGAAGUGGAUUCUCUUCAUUGCCGUGUCCAUGACACAAGCUUGACCGUGUCUAUAAGUUUGCAGAAGCAAAACAGGGGCCUCUGCUCCAGGCGGGAACAGCUGACUCCAUCUGGGGAGUAGGCCUGGGUGCCGCGCGCCGAGAUUGCUGAAUAAAAGCAGCCAUCGUUGCCAGCACCAGUGUGUGGCUCCCACGUUUCUCUGUCCUGCACUCUAGGGCCAGACCACUCUCUGCAUGGACGAUAUCAUCUUCCCAAACCCAUGGUGCUUUCCCCCUGACUCAACCUGGACUCCAAGGUGGGGAGGGAUGGGUCAGAGGCCACCGCGGCUCCUGGAUAAUCCUGACCUGGGGUGGAGUGGGGUGAGGCAGAGGGAGCAGCCCCCAACACCUGCACUGGGCCAUACUAGGGAAGGAAUGCAGUUGAAUUCUCUGGCCAUCUGCAUUUGGAUCUGUAACUUACUUCGCCUGGCGCUGUGCGCAAGGUCUGAAAACUUACUGCUAGUACCUAGAAACAUUCAAGGCUUCCCGGUUCAAUCUUAAUGUAAAGUAGCUAGAGCCAUGGAAGUACAGUAUGAAUUAAAAGAAAAAAAUGCUGAAC